CCUACGGGAGGCAGCAGUGGGGAAUAUUGCACAAUGGGGGAAACCCUGAUGCAGCAACGCCGCGUGAGUGAGGAAGUAUUUCGGUAUGUAAAGCUCUAUCAGCAGGGAAUAGAAAAGAAGGUACCGGAAAAAGAACCCCCGGCUAACUACGUCCCAGCAGCCGCGGUAAUACGUAGGGGGCAAGCGUUAUCGUGAUUUACUGGGUGUAAAGGGAGGGUAGACGGAAAGGCACGUCAGAAGUGAAAGCCCAAGGCGAAACCCUGGGACUUCUUUUGAAACUGUCAAACUAGAGUCCGGGAGAGGUAAGAGGAAUUCCUAGGGUAGCGGUGAAAUGCGUAGAUAUUAGGAGGAACACCAGUGGCGAAGGCGUCUUACUGGACCGUAACUGACGUUGAGGCUCGAAAGCGUGGGGAGCAAACAGGAUUAGAUACCCUUGUAGUC
rnacentral:rRNA from 1 species